UAACCUGCCUGGUAGCGGGGGAUAACUAUUGGAAACGAUAGCUAAUACCGCAUAAGAGUAGAUGUUGCAUGACAUUUGCUUAAAAGGUGCAAUUGCAUCACUACCAGAUGGACCUGCGUUGUGUUAGCUAGUUGGUGAGGUAACGGCUCACCAAGGCAACGAUACAUAGCCGACCUGAGAGGGUGAUCGGCCACACUGGGACUGAGACACGGCCCAG
rnacentral:rRNA from 1 species